rnacentral:lncRNA from 1 species
UAGCUUCUCAGGCUCCAGGAUCCUCUCACCCCUCUACUUGUGCUGGUACCUCUACCCGUGGCCGAGGCAGACAUGGUCGAGGUCGUGCUCGUGGACUUGAUCCUACAUCUCCUCACCUUAUCUCUGAUUCUUCAGAUUCUGAUCUCUCUAGCCAUGACAUCUAUUAGAUCUAGAUUAGUUUGUCUCCUAUGUCUAGGAUCUAUCUUAUGGGCCUUGUAUUUGUUGGCUAAUUAACUCUUGGAUAGUUUCUAUCCAUGACUUUUGUAUUUUGAGUUGACUCAUGUGUAUUGGGAUACCUUUUGUAUUCAGUC